AAAUUGAAGAGUUUGAUCAUGGCUCAGAUUGAACGCUGGCGGCAGGCCUAACACAUGCAAGUCGAACGGUAACAGGAAGCAGCUUGCUGCUUCGCUGACGAGUGGCGGACGGGUGAGUAAUGUCUGGGAAACUGCCUGAUGGAGGGGGAUAACUACUGGAAACGGUGGCUAAUACCGUAUAACGUCGCAAGACCAAAGAGGGGGACCUUCGGGCCUCUUGCCAUCAGAUGUGCCCAGAUGGGAUUAGCUUGUUGGUGAGGUAACGGCUCACCAAGGCGACGAUCCCUAGCUGGUCUGAGAGGAUGACCAGCCACACUGGAACUGAGACACGGUCCAGACUCCUACGGGAGGCAGCAGUGGGGAAUAUUGCACAAUGGGCGCAAGCCUGAUGCAGCCAUGCCGCGUGUAUGAAGAAGGCCUUCGGGUUGUAAAGUACUUUCAGCGGGGAGGAAGGUGUUGCGGUUAAUAACCGCAGCAAUUGACGUUACCCGCAGAAGAAGCACCGGCUAACUCCGUGCCAGCAGCCGCGGUAAUACGGAGGG
rnacentral:rRNA from 1 species